AGGAGGGUAGGGGUACCUAGAUCGAGAGCUCAGAACCAGCAUCAAUCAAUACAAUCCAACAUACACACAGGACGUAGGGUAUUACGCGACAUAAGCGGUCCAAAUCUGUCUAAAUCGUGUGUUCGAGUUUACUUUCGAGUUACAGGUCCGACGAUUAUCCACCAACUAAUCUACUACCUUAGGAUACCCCUUGGUAGGUUACCAGAUAUAAAACACCGACAACCGAUACUAAGGACGAGGACGAAAGGACAUUUUUCCAAUAGUGUGUAUACUUCUG
rnacentral:lncRNA from 1 species